UGCUACGGCCAUACCACCCUGAACGCGCCCGAUCUCGUCUGAUCUUGGAAGUUAAAAGCAGGGGUGGUUUGGAUAGAAAUCAAUCAUUUUGUUUAAGUAGGCUUGAUAAUACAUGUCUGUGGUCC
ensembl:rRNA 5S_rRNA 5S ribosomal RNA